rnacentral:rRNA from 1 species
CCUACGGGCGGCAGCAGUGGGGAAUAUUGCACAAUGGGGGGAACCCUGAUGCAGCGACGCCGCGUGAGUGAAGAAGUAUUUCGGUACGUAAAGCUCUAUCAGCAGGGAAGAAAAAAGGACGGUACCUGAGUAAGAAGCCCCGGCUAACUACGUGCCAGCAGCCGCGGUCAUACGUAGGGGGCAAGCGUUAUCCGGAAUUACUGGGUGUAAAGGGAGCGUAGACGGCAAUGCAAGUCCGGAGUGGAAUGCGGCAGCUCAACUGCCGAACUGCUCUGGAAACUGUAUGGCUUGAGUGCAGGAGGGGUAAGCGGAAUUCCUGGUGUAGCGGUGAAAUGCGUAGAUAUCAUACAGAACACCGAUUGCGAAGGCAGCUUACCAAGCUACUUCUGACGUUGAGGCACGAAAGCGUGGGGAGCAAACAGGAUUAGAUACCCGGGUAGUC